AGAGUUUGAUUAUGGCUCAGGAUGAACGCUGGCGGCGUGCCUAACACAUGCAAGUCGAACGGAUCCAUGCUGAAACCUAGUGAUGCAUGGAUUAGUGGCGGACGGGUGAGUAACGCGUGGAUAACCUGCCGUAUACUGGGGGAUAACACUUAGAAAUAGGUGCUAAUACCGCAUAAGCGCACAGUCUCGCAUGAGACGGUGUGAAAAACUCCGGUGGUAUACGAUGGAUCCGCGUCUGAUUAGCUUGUUGGCGGGGUAACAGCCCACCAAGGCGACGAUCAGUAGCCGGCCUGAGAGGGUGAACGGCCACAUUGGGACUGAGACACGGCCCAAACUCCUACGGGAGGCAGCAGUGGGGAAUAUUGCACAAUGGGGGAAACCCUGAUGCAGCGACGCCGCGUGAGUGAAGAAGUACCCCGGUACGUAAAGCUCUAUCAGCAGGGAAGAAAAUGACGGUACCUGACCAAGAAGCCCCGGCUAACUACGUGCCAGCAGCCGCGGUAAUACGUAGGGGGCAAGCGUUAUCCGGAUUUACUGGGUGUAAAGGGAGCGUAGACGGCGGCGCAAGUCUGGAGUGAAAUCCCGGGGCUCAACCCCGGAACUGCUUUGGAAACUGCGCGGCUCCAG
rnacentral:rRNA from 1 species